CAGGGAAUAUUGCGCAAUGGGCGAAAGCCUGACGCAGCGACGCCGCGUGAGGGAUGAAGGCCUUCGGGUUGUAAACCUCUUUCAGUGGAGAAGAAGCGAAAGUGACGGUAUCCACAGAAGAAGCCCCGGCCAACUACGUGCCAGCAGCCGCGGUAAUACGGAAGGUGCAAGCGUUAGUCGGAGUUAUUGGGCGUAAAGGGUGCGUAGGCGGCAUACAAAGUUGGAUAUGAAAUUCCGUGGGCUCAACCCCGGGGCUAUAUCCAAAACUCGUAUGCUCGAGGAAUGGCGGAGAAAAUGGAAUUCCAUGUGUAGCGGUGAAAUGCGUAGAUAUAUGGAAGAACACCUGUGGCGAAAGCGGUUUUCUAGCCUCCUCCUGACGCUAAGGCACGAAAGCAAGGGGAGCAAACAGGAUUAGAUACCCUGGUAGUCCACGCCGUAAACGAUGGGCACUAGGCGUCGGGGGGAGCGAACCUCCCGGUGCCGUCGCUAACGCAGUAAGUGCCCCGCCUGGGGAGUACGGCCGCAAGGCUG
rnacentral:rRNA from 1 species